GAUGAACGCUGGCGGCGUGCCUAAUACAUGCAAGUCGAGCGAACGGACGAGAAGCUUGCUUCUCUGAUGUUAGCGGCGGACGGGUGAGUAACACGUGGAUAACCUACCUAUAAGACUGGGAUAACUUCGGGAAACCGUAGCUAAUACCGGAUAAUAUUUUGAACCGCAUGGUUCAAAAGUGAAAGACGGUCUUGCUGUCACUUAUAGAUGGAUCCGCGCUGCAUUAGCUAGUUGGUAAGGUAACGGCUUACCAAGGCAACGAUGCAUAGCCGACCUGAAAGGGUGAUCGGCCACACUGGAACUGAGACACGGUCCAGACUCCUACGGGAGGCAGCAGUAGGGAAUCUUCCGCAAUGGGCGAAAGCCUGACGGAGCAACGCCGCGUGAGUGAUGAAGGUCUUCGGAUCGUAAAACUCUGUUAUUAGGGAAGAACAAAUGUGUAAGUAACUGUGCACAUCUUGACGGUACCUAAUCAGAAAGCCACGGCUAACUACGUG
rnacentral:rRNA from 1 species